AUGUCUGAGAGUGGCGAAGAAGCUGAGGCUGAGCCUUCUCAAUCGUCCUGCCCUGCGUAUGAGGAGCUGUUAGAGGUUAUGGAUCGCGCCACGGCAAAAUUAGAUUUGCCAUGGAAGCGUGCCAGAAAGGUUACAUCACGAGGUCGCCUCGAUGAGCGUUAUUUGUCUGACCAUAGCCCUCCAGCCCAGGUGAGCCUUCCAUUCUUGCCUGACUUGCAUGCAGAAGUCAAAAAGGAAUGGAAGAGGCCGUUUUCCUCUCGCAUCCAUCGGUUUCAGCGUACGAGUUAUGCUAAUAUCGAGGGCAUGCACGAAAACGGCUAUGAGAGGAUGCCCCCUGUAGAAGAGACGCUGGCUAGCUAUCUCUCUGUGGGUGAAACGUCCUCUAUUAAAUAUCCCUCUUUGCCAUCUAAGCCCCUCCAGGAUACAUCCUGCUUAAAUGGCAAAUCAUACGCGGCAGCAGGCCAGGCUGUGGCUUCAUUGCACACGAUGGCAGUGCUUCAGGCUUACCAGGCUGACCUGCUGAAGGACCUGGAUACAGGCGAGGGCCUUUCACCUGACCAGGUAGCCGAGCUGCGCCGCACCACAGACCUCUCUCUCCGGGCUACCAAGCAGGCCGCCUCUGCCAUGGGCAGAUCUAUGGCGGCCAUGGUGGUAACGGAGAGACAUCUGUGGGUGAACCUGGCAGACAUCGGGAGGGAAGAAAGGGGGUUUCUUCUCGAUGCUCCGGUCUCGCCUUCUGAGCUUUUCGGUACCUCCAUCGAGACGGUGGUCGGAAAGUUCAGGGAGGCCAGGGCGCGCUCCGCUGCCUUUAAAUCCUUCAUUCCACGAAGGUCCAGGUCCGAGCCCGAACAACAAAGGGGUCCUGGCCCAUCUCGAUCUGAGGAUCGUAGACGGGCGCAGAAGGCUAGUGUCGCGGCUCGUGCUCCUCCCCCGCCUAGGGGCAGGGGCAAGAGGAACCGCGGGUCACGGAGAGGUAAGCAGGGUGUCAGGGAUGUGAUUCAGACGAGGCAGCGUCCUCACCCGGAUCAGAGCGAUACCUAG
rnacentral:lncRNA from 1 species